GCUCUUUUGUCUCAAUGGGCAGAGACUGAAAGCAACCGCGGCUGCCCGGAGGUCCGAACUGGAGGGUGGCCGCAGCCGUGACUUCCUUGGGAACCGCGCUGCCUCGACUCGGCUACCUCUCUGCGAAGCACUCGCUAAGCCGGGCAGCCCCGGGGUCGCUUAGCGGCCCAGGAGGCGCCAGCGAUCCUGUUCCCCUGCAGAGCUAUGGGGACCGGAAGGCGAAACAGAGCUGUCGACGCGGGAGCAUACGCUGCCCACCAGUGGAGCGCAGCACCUUCACCAAGAGUAGAUGCCAUCUCAAGAAGCUACUUUGCUCAUCCAUAAGAAACCAC
rnacentral:lncRNA from 1 species